rnacentral:rRNA from 1 species
AGAGUUUGAUCCUGGCUCAGCGCGAACGCUGGCGGCAUGCCUAACACAUGCAAGUCGAACGGAAAGUGGGGCAACUCACUUUCAGUGGCAAACGGGUGAGUAACGCGUGAAUAACCUGCCUUUGAGAAGGGGAUAACUGUCCGAAAGGAUAGCUAAUACCCUAUAAUGUCCUUUGUCACAAAGGCAAAGGAUGAAAGCGAGGCUGUCAAAGGCUUCGGCUCAAAGAGGGGUUCGCGUCCUAUCAGGUAGUUGGUGGGGUAAUGGCCUACCAAGCCAAUGACGGGUAGCUGGUCUUAGAGGAUGAUCAGCCACAGUGGGACUGAGACACGGCCCGCACCCCUACGGGGGGCAGCAGUGGGGAAUCGUGGGCAAUGGACGAAAGUCUGACCCCGCAAUGCCGCGUGAGGGAAGAAGCCCUUCGGGGUGUAAACCUCUGUCAGAUGGGAAGAUGGGACCGAGGGCUAAUACCUCUUGGUCUUGACGGUACCAUCAGAGGAAGGGACGGCUAACUACGUGCCAGCAGCCGCGGUAAUACGUAGGUCCCGAGCGUUGCGCGAUGUUACUGGGCGUAAAGCGUCCGUAGCUGGUUUCGUAAGCGGAUUGUCAAAACCCGAAGCUCAACUUCGGCAAGGCAUUCCGAACUGCGUUACUUGAGUCCUGUUCAGGUAGGCGGAAUUCCCGGUGUAGCGGUGAAAUGCGUAGAUAUCGGGAGGAACACCAGUGGCGAAGGCGGCCUACUGGGACGGUACUGACGGUCAUGGACGAAAGCUGGGGGAGCAAACCGGAUUAGAUACCCGGGUAGUCCCAGCCGUAAACGAUGGAUGUUAGGUGUAGUGAUAACUUCGCUGCACCCCAGCUAACGCGUUAAACAUCCCGCCUGGGGAGUACGGGCGCAAGCCUGAAACUCAAAGGAAUUGGCGGGGGCCCGCACAACCGGUGGAGCGUCUGGUUUAAUUCGAUGCUAACCGAAAAACCUUACCAGGGUUUGAAAUGGUAGGAAAGGCUGUCUAAAGAUAGCCGUGUUUCCCUUUUGGGAGAAAUCCUACCACAGGUGGUGCAUGGCCGUCGUCAGCUCGUGUUGUGAGAUGUUGGGUUAAGUCCCGCAACGAGCGCAACCC